rnacentral:rRNA from 1 species
AUGCAGUCGACGUGAUUUUUNUGAAGCUCCUUCGGGGAAUGGAAUUAGAAUGAAAGUGGCGAACGGGUGAGUAACACGUGAGCAACCUACCUUACACAGGGGGAUAGCCGUUGGAAACGACGAUUAAUACCGCAUGAGACCACAGAAUCGCAUGAUAUAGGGGUCAAAGAUUUAUCGGUGUAAGAAGGGCUCGCGUCUGAUUAGCUAGUUGGAAGGGUAAAGGCCUACCAAGGCGACGAUCAGUAGCCGGUCUGAGAGGAUGAACGGCCACAUUGGAACUGAGACACGGUCCAAACUCCUACGGGAGGCAGCAGUGGGGAAUAUUGCACAAUGGGGGGAACCCUGAUGCAGCGACGCCGCGUGAGCGAAGAAGGUUUUCGAAUCGUAAAGCUCUGUCCUAUGAGAAGAUAAUGACGGUAUCAUAGGAGGAAGCCCCGGCUAAAUACGUGCCAGCAGCCGCGGUAAUACGUAUGGGGCGAGCGUUGUCCGGAAUUAUUGGGCGUAAAGGGUACGUAGGCGGUUUUUUAAGUCAGGUGUGAAAGCGUGAGGCUUAACCUCAUUAAGCACUUGAAACUGGAAGACUUGAGUGAAGGAGAGGAAAGUGGAAUUCCUAGUGUAGCGGUGAAAUGCGUAGAUAUUAGGAGGAAUACCGGUGGCGAAGGCGACUUUCUGGACUUUUACUGACGCUCAGGUACGAAAGCGUGGGGAGCAAACAGGAUUAGAUACCCUGGGUAGUCCA